AUUAAUUCUGGUGGUCAUAGGUAAAUCGGGCCAGCAGCUCCUUUGGAGAGAGCUGAUGGGAAAGGGGUACUUACAGGGAAAGCUGAAAAGUGCCAUCAGGGGGAGGGGGUCAGGCGACUUCCCUAGCUGUCCCUGGGCUUCCCUUGCCGUCCGGGAGACGGGGCAACGUGCUGGGAGAUGCUUUGGCUGACCGGAGAGGGCACUGGGGGCUCCCAGCUCACCUAGUUGCCAGUGGGCUGCCCUGGGUGUAAUUCUCAGUGGCUUAGAGGCCGUUUUCUCCUCCACGGAUGGCACAUGCGGUUCACUCCCCCACGUGUCCCUUCACUCAUUCACUGGUCUAUUCAGCAGGUGUCUCAAGAGCCAGGACAUGCGGAGGACUGGCCCAGGAUCCAGGUCUGCAGUGAUGAGGACUGAGUCUCUCCCUCAGAGACAAACUGAUGAAGAAGCUGAUGGUUCUGGAUACUGUGAGAUGCCAGGAGCAUUAAGACAGGAAAACCUCCCCACGUUGAGAUUCAAUCACCAGGAAGGGCCCACACCUCCGCCAAGAAGCACAAGACCCACCGGUUAGGGAGGAAGUCACCCGAGUUUCCAUGUUUAAGGCUUGUUCUGAAAGAACAAUCUGUUUUGUUGGCUAUUUGUUGAAUGAAGGCUUAAAGGAUG